AAAUCUCACAACUUGAAUCUUUUUUCAUUUGUGGACUUGGAUUUGCGAUUACCUAGUAAUUGCUAAUCUGAAAUGGAUUUCAUGAAGCUAAACUCGCUUUUAUCUUUGCUUAAUAGUUUUGCUUUGCAAAUCUUUUGCAUUGAUUAAAAGCCCAAAAAGUGAAUUGAUUUUUACGAAUUCAAUACCUCAUU
rnacentral:misc_RNA from 1 species